rnacentral:rRNA from 1 species
AUUGAACGCUGGCGGCAGGCUUAACACAUGCAAGUCGAGCGAGCGGCGGACGGGUGAGUAAUGUCUGGGAAACUGCCUGAUGGAGGGGGAUAACUACUGGAAACGGUAGCUAAUACCGCAUACCAUCAGAUGUGCCCAGAUGGGAUUAGCUAGUAGGUGGGGUAAUGGCUCACCUAGGCGACGGUCCCUAGCUGGUCUGAGAGGAUGACCAGCCACACGGGAACUGAGACACGGGCAAGACGCCUACGGGGGGCAGCAGUGGGGAAUGUUGCACAAUGGGCGGAAGCCUGAUGCGGCCAUGACGCAUGUGUGAAAAAGGCCUUCGGGUUGUAAAGAACUUUCAGCAAGGAGGCGUUACUCGCAGAAGAAGCACCGGCUAACUCCGUGCCAGCAGCCGCGGUAAUUC